UGCUAAUACCGGAUAACAACAGAUGAUGCCUAUCAACUGUUUAAAAGAUGGUUCUGCUAUCACUCUUGGAUGGACCUGCGGUGCAUUAGCUAGUUGGUAGGGUAACGGCCUACCAAGGCGAUGAUGCAUAGCCGAGUUGAGAGACUGAUCGGCCACAUUGGGACUGAGACACGGCCCAAACUCCUACGGGAGGCAGCAGC
rnacentral:rRNA from 1 species